CAGAAAAAAAUUCAACGGGUUUCAGGGUCAAUGUACUUGGCUGAGAUCCAACAACCGCACUGCAGCCCCGGUAGAGCUGGGGGCACCGGGAACCUCGGACCGUCCAGCCCUGCGCAGGAUCAUCGGCGAGAAGGAAGCCCGCAGCGGUACUGCCUGCCAGAUGUGUGCGUGCAAGUAAAACAGCAGUCAUAAUGUGGAAAUUUCAGUCACAUUUUGCAACUAAUUGGAAGCAGAUUAGAAUUCCGCCUCGGGGGAACGUUGUCAAACUAGAAGCCGGAGCAAAUGAAGAAAGAGAUUUGGUGGCAGUGGCAGCACCAGAAGGAGACGUCCAAAGGCACUGGGGACACAGAAGGAGAAACGCAGGCAUGGUAUCCUUGAGAACUUUGAGUUGUCUUUCUCAUCAUUUCCAAAGGGAAGGCCAUGGAUGAGUUCCUCUCAGUUCUGGUUUCCACUCUCUUGGCGUAGAGCUUCUGAUCUAACUGGCUUUCCAAAGUUCCUCAUUUGAUUGAAAUCCCUCCCCAAAGUCUCUCCCCACUGCUUCAAGAUUCCACAUUGGGUAAUGCUAGUGGUUAUUAGACUGAGUCCAACUUGAAAAACCAGCCUGGGCCUGGAAUUGGACUGGGUCUGAUUUAAGCUGGACUGUGCCUGAUUUGAGCUAUUCUGGGUCCUGUGCAAAGCCUUGGGUGAAUGAAAUUUUAAGUCAAGGCUAUUGUUCGUGGGAAUCUUGAAGACUACAAAAACAAAAACAAAAAGAAACACAAAAGGCCACAAAAUUGAUGGCACUGGUCAAGUCAUUUAAAGGUGUUACAGUGCUCACCAAACUCGAGCCUUACCUAUUGGAUAAAUUGAUGCAACAGGAUAAGAUUGACACACUAGGUCACCUGCCAACCUCAAGAAAAUUUCUGUGCAAUAAGACACAAUGUAAAACACCACAUGAUCCCCAACCCAGUUGACAUACCCCUCUUAGGUGUUAGUCUGGCUCCAAGACAACCAAAGACUUACCCCCCUCCCCUCAAAAAAGGAUCCUUAAAACCCAAAGAGUUAAGUGCGCCACCUUCUGGCAUACCGGCUUAUUUGGUGUCUAAGAACUAUGGUCUCAGAAGCCAAAGAUCAAUUUUUUAAAAACAGCAAAAACCUUACUGAGCUUGUUUUCAGUCCUAAGAACUUGACUAGGUAACUGUAAGGUUUGAGGGUUCCAAAAUACGGCCAGACACAAAAACAGGUUAAACUCCAUUGGCAGGUUCCUAUGCUCAGGGAACUUAGGCCAUUAUGAGGAAAGCUCCAAUGAGAUAAGAUCAUUGAAGAAGUAGGCUUAAAAGCAAGGGUUCCCAAAUCAACCAAACAAAACUGCCCAUCUACUUUAAGCCUCUAAGGUCUUCAAAAUUCCAAAAUAACUAAAUUGAAAGAUUCACUGCAAAAGGGCAAUGAAAAAUUAAAAGUACAAAAGGUUCCUAAAACAAGAAACUUUAAGAUGGAUGUAAUCCCACUGUUCUCCUCCACCGUUUCAGUACUCAAUCUAUUGAUCCUUUAUCUAAAUCGACUUUUCACCCUGAAAAGACUUGUAAACACUUUUAAAAUAAGACCACCCAAGGCUCCAAGUGACCCUCUUCAAGUAUCUUUCACUCCUUGGUCAAAGGCCAAACUAAGGGCCAUAAGUUUAAAAAUUAAAUUUCCUAAACCCGGGGGACAUCCUCAAAAGUUUCUGUUGACAGAUUAUCUUCUAAGAUUAAUGAAUUAAUAAAAAGACAGAAAAUAAAAGAAUGAGGUCAUGACUAAAGGUGAACACUUUGAAACGACCAUGACAGUGAACAAAAUUGGCCAAAUUAAUAAAAUCUUAAAAAAAAAAAUUGGCCAAAUUAGAGGUCUAACAGCCAACCCAUUAUCUACUCUUGGAGGAUCCCAUAGAGCUGUCCCCCCACCCCCACCUGCCCCGCAGAGUUGCGGAGACUCAGAAAUUUUCUGGUAGAAUGCUGUUAUUCCCAUUAAAAGCCAAGGGAAAACCAAAAUUAAAAUUAAUGAAAUUAAUGAAUUCUGGUGCAUACUUUAAACCCAACUUGAAGCCUACAGAUGGGAUCCUGAGAAAAUUAACAAAAGCCAGCUAAGGAUGAAAAUUCAUACCAGAGUCACCUAUCCCAAAUCUCUGUAGCACCCAGUAGAGAGAGGAAAAUAAAGUAUUUUUAGCACCAUCUCUGGGGACAGCUCGUGUCCAAGGUGUUGUUCAAGAUUGCCAGAAAUAUUUACUGUUUGUCCCAGGUGAGAACUGACAAAAUAUUUCCAAGUUUUUUUUUCCCCCCAGUAGAUGGCCAAAUUGGAAGCUAUUAUUCAGAACAUGAUACGAUGUUUUCAGGCCUUCCCCUAAACUAAACUAAAACUGCACCCAGAAAGUAAGAAUAGCCUUCUAAAGUCUUUGCGGAAAGACUCCUAAAAUUCUCAAAAAAUAUAAAAACCCCAACUCCUUUUUCAAUUUCACGUGAUCUAAAAUUGUUUUGUGUGUAACAACUAGAUUGAGGUUGUUGGUUUAAUUGAAAUAGGUGUGUCUUUAAAGUUACCAACAUUGAAUAAAACACAGAUGUACAACUUUUAUUCUACCUGAGUUUACUAAUCAAGUAAGUUCAUGAUAUCUCUGCUACAACAUUUAUCAACCAGAAAAAUAACUUGGGAUAUAUAAUGAAAUUUUCAUAGGUAAUUAAACAUAAUUGUUAAGAACAGAUGAGUUAAAUAGAUGCAAAUGAGAUAAAGUUUGUGAACUUUUCAGCAACUUGCCUCCAAAAUUUUUUAGCUACUUGAAACAAACUUUUGCCAAGUCAAGUUAAAUGACAAAUUAAGUCAAGGCCACCGAAUAAAUAUCUGGAUCAUCUCCAAAUAAAAUAAAACAGUGAAACUAAAUACUUGGGUCCAAUAGUAAACAUAUUUUGUGCCACAGCGAAUUUGCUAUGAGAAAACAUUUAUUUCUAAAAAUUAUGCAAAAUAUUUAUAAAUUUGCCAAGCUACUAUAACAGUGUACAAUUGUUUACUUAUUUUUCACAAGAACAUAAAGUUUUUAAGGGUUAAAAAUUCUAAUGUAUGUGGAGCACCUGAGUGGCUCAGUCAGUUAAGUGUCUCCCUUCUGCUCAGGUCAGGAUCCCAGAGACUUGGGAUUGUGCCCCAUAUGAGUCCCAUUUCGAGCUCUCUGCUCAGUGAGGAACCUGCUUCUCCCUCUCCCUCUGCCUGACGCUCCUCCUGCUUGUUCACUUGCUCUCUCUCGAUCUCUCUAAU